rnacentral:rRNA from 1 species
UACGAAGGGGGCUAGCGUUGCUCGGAAUCACUGGGCGUAAAGGGCGCGUAGGCGGCCGAUCAAGUCAGAGGUGAAAGCCCAAGGCUCAACCUUGGAAUUGCCUUUGAUACUGUUCGGCUAGAGACCGGAAGAGGUUAGUGGAACUGCGAGUGUAGAGGUGAAAUUCGUAGAUAUUCGCAAGAACACCAGUGGCGAAGGCGGCUCACUGGUCCGGUACUGACGCUGAGGUGCGAAAGCGUGGGGAGCAAACAGG